rnacentral:rRNA from 1 species
GACGAACGCUGGCGGCGUGCUUAACACAUGCAAGUCGAACGGAAAGGCCCUGAUUUUGUGGGGUGCUCGAGUGGCGAACGGGUGAGUAACACGUGAGUAACCUGCCCUUGACUUUGGGAUAACUUCAGGAAACUGGGGCUAAUACCGGAUAGGAGCUCCUGCUGCAUGGUGGGGGAUGGAAAGUUUCGGCGGUUGGGGAUGGACUCGCGGCUUAUCAGCUUGUUGGUGGGGUAGUGGCUGACCAAGGCUUUGACGGGUAGCCGGCCUGGGAGGGUGACCGGCCCCAUUGGGCCUGAGGUACGGCCCAGACUCCUACGGGAGGCAGCAGUGGGGAAUAUUGCACAAUGGGCGGAAGCCUGAUGCAGCAACGCCGCGUGCGGGAUGACGUCCUUCGGGUUGUAAACCGCUUUCGCCUGUGACGAAGCGUGAGUGACGGUAAUGGGUAAAGAAGCACCGGCUAACUACGUG